rnacentral:rRNA from 1 species
CCUAUACAUGCAGUCGAGCGGACAGAAGGGAGCUUGCUCCCGGAUGUUAGCGGCGGACGGGUGAGUAACACGUGGGUAACCUGCCUGUAAGACUGGGAUAACUCCGGGAAACCGGAGCUAAUACCGGAUAGUUCCUUGAACCGCAUGGUUCAAGGAUGAAAGACGGUUUCGGCUGUCACUUACAGAUGGACCCGCGGCGCAUUAGCUAGUUGGUGGGGUAAUGGCUCACCAAGGCGACGAUGCGUAGCCGACCUGAGAGGGUGAUCGGCCACACUGGGACUGAGACACGGCCCAGACUCCUACGGGAGGCAGCAGUAGGGAAUCUUCCGCAAUGGACGAAAGUCUGACGGAGCAACGCCGCGUGAGUGAUGAAGGUUUUCGGAUCGUAAAGCUCUGUUGUUAGGGAAGAACAAGUGCGAGAGUAACUGCUCGCACCUUGACGGUACCUAACCAGAAAGCCACGGCUAACUACGUGCCAGCAGCCGCGGUAAUACGUAGGUGGCAAGCGUUGUCCGGAAUUAUUGGGCUUAAAGGGUUUGC